rnacentral:lncRNA from 1 species
GUUACUGAUUGGCUGAUUAUACAGUAUGCUUUUAAUGAUAGGCUGAUUCUACUGUAUGUUGUUAAUGAUAGGCUGAUUCUACAGUAGGUUGUUAAUGAUAUCCUGAUCAUACAGUAGGUUGUUAAUGAUUGGCUGAUUAUACAGUAUGCUUUUAAUGAUAGGCUGAUUAUACAGUAGGUUGUUAAUGAUAGGCUGCUUCUACAGUAGGUUGUUAAUGAUAGGCUGAUUCUACAGUAGGUUGUUAAUGAUAGGCUGAUUAUACAGUAGGUUGUUAAUGAUAGGCUGAUUAUACAUUAGGCUGUUAAUGAUAGGCUGAUUCUACAGUAGGUUGUUAAUGAUAGGCUGAUUAUACAGUAGGUUGUUAAUAAUAUCCUACUUUUACAGUAGGUUGUUAAUGAUAGGCUGAUUAUACAGUAGGUUGUUAAUAAUAGGCUGCUUCUACAGUGCAGAAAUAAGUAUUUUGCAGAAAUACAGUAAGUGUUUAGUGUUUUAACGUAAGUUAUUUUUGUGUGUUGCUGUCCAUUGACUGAUGGGGGAUAUCAGGCUAUUUUGUUAUUUUUAUAUGAAUUAUUGAAUAACUCAUUGUACUCCGUUGAUGUGAUAUGUGUACUUAUUAAGGUAGCGAGGUAUUGUAGUGAUGCACAGUGGUGAUUUCUAGUCACAAUAUGCCAGCAGCAGACCACCCUGCAUCCCACUGCUGGCUUGCUUCUGAAGCUAAGCAGGGUUGGUCCUGGAUGGGAGACCAGAUGCUGCUGGAAGUGGUGUUGGAGGGCCAAUAGGAGGAAUUGUAGUGAUGCACAGUGGUGAUUUCUAGUCACAAUAAACUACUAAUGUUUUCAGUUAAUACUCUUCAGGAUUUUGUAUGAUUUUUAUUAGCCUGGGUGCCAGUCUGUAUAGCCAGUUAUACAUGAUUUUUAUUAGCCUGGGUGCCAGUCUGUAUAGCCAGUUAUACAUGUGUCACGUCCUAACCAGUAAAAGGGGUUGUUUGUUAUUGUAGUUUGGUCAGGGCAUGGCAGGAGGUGUUUGUUUAGGGUGUUUCGGGGUGUUUUGGUUUAUGUUCUAUGUUAGUGUAUUUCUAUGUUCGUUCUAUUUGUUCUAUUUCUAUGCGUAGUUUAUUGGGUUGAUCUUCAAUUGGAGGCAGCUGUUCCUCGUUGCCUCUAAUUGAAGGUCCUAUUUAAUAGAGGUGUUUUUGUCAUGGGAUUUGUGGGUAGUUGUUUCUCUGUAUAGUCAUUUUGUCCUUACGAGACAGUUUUUUCGCCGUUGUUUUGUGUCACGUUUCUUUAUAAAUAAAGAAGAAGAUGAGCACUUACAUUCCCGCUGCGUUUUGGUCCACUCCAUACGACGAAUGUGACAACAUGAGUUUUAUUAGCCUGGGUGCCAGUCUGUAUAGCC